rnacentral:sRNA from 1 species
AGGCACGGCAGCGGCGGUCCCCUCGGGGAACCACACUAUAGCUCCACCAUGAAUGACCAUACAUCGGGCCAGAAGUGGAUGCGCAGCUUGGAAAAAUCCUUUUCAAUGAGCUGAGUCUUCUCAAGAGUUGCCAUCUGGAUCCUGUUUUCUCUCUCUCUGUGUACAUAGAAAUCUCUUCAGCAUAGCACAUCUCCAUGCCCUUCAGGAGGCUUCUGAAACACAGGCGCUGCCCGUGUUUUCUCCGGGACAUUAAACCUAUACAUACAUACAUACAUACAUACAUACAUACAUACAUACAUACAGGCACGAGCAUUGUGUCGACAUCCUGA